UGAGCAACCUGCCCUUGACUCUGGAAUAACAGUUGGAAACAGCUGCUAAUACCGGAUAUGACUUUGUGUGACAUCACACGAAGUGGAAAGCCCUGGCGGUCAAGGAUGGGCUCGCGGCCUAUCAGCUUGUUGGUGAGGUAACGGCUCACCAAGGCUUCGACGGGUAGCCGGCCUGGGAGGGCGACCGGCCACACUGGGACUGAGAUACGGCCCAGACUCCGUACGGGAGCAG
rnacentral:rRNA from 1 species